UGGGAAUUGGCUUCAGAGCAGAGCAGUUGAGGAUGUCAUACAAACCCCUGACCAGUGCCUCUCAAUGCUUCUGUGAAGGUCCUUGAAACCCAGGGAAAUCUGAGAUACCAUGACUACCCAGAGGUGCCCAGACAACAUGACCACAUCCCAUAACAUAGCAUCCUGGGUGGAAUUUGCAGACAGAAGAAAGAGAAGAACUACAGAGUGAGUAACGCAUGGACAUUAGUCAACAUGUCAGUGUAGAUUCAUUGAUUGUGAAAGAUGUUCAAAGCCAUGUCUAUGCUAACCAUUGGUGAAACUAGCUGAGAGGUAUCAUUAACCUUCUUCACUGUCUUUUCAGUUUUUCUAUCAACUAAAACUAAAAGUUUAUCUUCAGAAAAGAAGACUGGGCAUGUGGCACAGGAGAUACUUUCAUUUGGCUGGUGCAGGGAGAGUGAGUGGAGGUGAUGUGGGAGAUGCUGAUAAUGGGAGUGUAUCCAGUCAUGCAGGGCCUCAUGGCCUGCCUUGGCUUCCUGCUCUACCCAGUGUGGAUGUAGGCAGCUGUGCAGAGGCUCUUAAGGGCACACCAGUGUGAUGGGUGGUACAUCCCAGGCCAUCUGGAGUGGUAUUGAGAAGGAGGGUGGGAUAUGUGUCUCAGACAGUAUUUGGGACAUAUUUGUGCUAAAAAUCAUUCCUUUUUGCUUAUAUUAAAUAUCACUGGGAAUCCUAUGGUUCUUUUGGCACCCUUGGCUGUGUUUCAGAGAGACAUUGUGGGACUGAGGACUAAACACGUGUGGAGAAGUGAUUGGCCAAACAGAAGCCACAAACCUGCAGGUGGAUGAAAGCUCGAGGUUCUUUAGACUUUUUGUAUGAACUUCACAGUCCCAAGUUCUCUAGAGGACAAGAAAGCUCCAUAGCAAGGUAACUAUUUCGGACAGGCUCACCUGGACAAGGUGGCCUAUGCAAGGACUGUGGCUGUUAGAGUGCCUCCAAGAGGUGAGGCCAGGAUGGAAUGAGAUAGAAAAUAACAACUGGAGUUGGAGCUGAAGCUGACACUGAUCCUUUUCAUCCUAAGUUUCCCAUUAUAAGAUGAGAAAUUUCUUGCAAGACAGCACAUUAGCAGUUGAGAUUCUGGAAGAUAUUCACAGGACAUGAUGUUGAGCUCUCAGAAGAUAUCUAGACUCCUGGGACAUGGCUGGGUCUGGCAGGGAUAAGGAGAGAGUGAAGAAAAUUUGGAGUGUGUCACAGGCCUUGAGACAGGAGGAAAGGAUGAAUGUGUACCCUGAAACUCAGUGCUAAAAUUAAAAAGUUAAAUCUUGGAAUAACUUAUGGAUUUUAGUAAUACUUAAUUUUUUUUUCAUUAUAUUUGAGUAUACAUUUGGGCUCUAUCUUCAGUUUCCAUAAAUUCUUUCAUAAAAGAAGAAUCAGUCAAGAAAAGGAACACAAUAACUUAAUAUAGUUAAUUGGGGAAAGCUUGAAUUUAGUACAAUUAAUUUCUAAUUUUUUUUUUUACAAUUUGACAUCUAUGAUCUUUGAAGUGUGCCACUUCUCAACUAAAACCUGAAAGAAAAUAUAUGUGAGUUUGCAUCUCUGUCUCUUUUUCUUAUGUAAAUAUCUUUAUACUUUAACCUUUCAGCUUUUGGAAGAAAUAGAAUGAAAGAUGGGCUGUGGAUCUCUCAGAUAUUGUCUGUAUUAAACACACUGGUAUUUGAAUGUAAGUCUCAAACAACUGUCCUUCCCUCUGCAGAAAUCCCAGACUCAUCUAAGCUGUUGGGUGAUUACAUGCUUACAUUGUCAAUAAAAACAGUCCCAGCUUCCACACCUGCUCCUUCACAUCAAUGGAGUUCAGUCUGGAAAGACAAAAAGAGAAGAAUUUGUAGAUAAACAUUAAUUAAAUGUUCCUAAGAGGUUGGAAGAGCCUGAAGCAUCCACCUUCUGGAAGCUUAGCUGCUUCCCUGGGAGCUGGUUCUGCCCAUGUGGGUACAGGGGGAAGAGCAGAGACUUGUUCCUUGGACAUCCUCCUAUCCUGAGACACUUCUUUAGAGGGAUCUUGGAAAGCAAGACAAAACACCACCACAUCACUCUACUUAAGAGUAGCUUUUCUUCUUCACUUUUUCAUUCCUACAUUAAGUAUGAGCUAACCUUACUUUAUAACAGGGAGUUAUUCCUGAAAAUUGUACUCAAUUAACCAAUGUGUAUACUUCAAAAGUUUCCUCAGUAACCUCCAUUAUGAUUGCAUUCCAACAGU
rnacentral:lncRNA from 1 species